rnacentral:rRNA from 1 species
UCGGGAAUUUUGGGCAAUGGGCGAAAGCCUGACCCAGCAACGCCGCGUGAGGGAUGAAGUAUUUCGGUAUGUAAACCUCGAAAGAAUAGGAAGAAUAAAUGACGGUACUAUUUAUAAGCUCCGGCUAACUACGUGCCAGCAGCCGCGGUAAUACGUAGGGAGCAAGCGUUGUUCGGAUUUACUGGGCGUAAAGGGCGCGUAGGCGGCCUGACAGGUCACUUGUGAAAUCUCCGAGCUUAACUCGGAACGGUCAAGUGAAACCAAUAGGCUAGAGUGCAGAAGGGGCAAUCGGAAUUCUUGGUGUAGCGGUGAAAUGCGUAGAUAUCAAGAGGAACACCUGAGGUGAAGACGGGUUGCUGGGCUGACACUGACGCUGAGGCGCGAAAGCCAGGGGAGCAAACGGGAUUAGAAACCCUGGUAG